UUUUAUACAUGGAUUUUCAUUGAAGUUAUUGUCUGGGUCCUAUUAAGUGAUUAUUUCAUGUAAUAGCCUUAACUUGCGAGAACUUUAUGGUGAAGUCUAGAUACUUGUAUGCUUUUUUAUUUAAUUUAGUUUUCAGGACAUAUUGAAGAAAGCUCAGCUUCUUUCCCCUCGUGCUAUGGUUGUUGAUUCAAUACAAACUCUUGAUCCUAUUAACACUUGGUAAGAGCAAAAGGUUAAGUUGAAUGAUGCUGAGCACAAGUUAAAAGAUCAAGGACGUCAACUAAAGAAGAUGAGUUUGGGACAGGCUCUAGUGAUGAUGAGGAUGAUAACAUAAGUGAUUGAUGUCAGGAGUAUAUAUUUUUUCUGAUUUAGAUUAAGAAAU